rnacentral:rRNA from 1 species
UCGGACGGGUGAGUAACGCGUGAGAAUCUACCUUCAGGACGGAGAUAACCGCUGGAAACGGCGGCUAAUCCCCGAUGAGCCUACGGGUGAAAGCGUUAACGCCUGAAGAGGAGCUCGCGGCUGAUUAGCUAGUUGGUGGGGUAAGAGCCUACCAAGGCAACGAUCAGUAGCUGGUCUGAGAGGAUGGUCAGCCACACUGGGACUGAGACACGGCCCAGACUCCUACGGGAGGCAGCAGUGGGGAAUCUUCCGCAAUGGGCGCAAGCCUGACGGAGCUAUACCGCGUGAGGGAAGAAGGCUCUUGGGUCGUAAACCUCUUUUCUUGGGGAAGAAAGCUGACGGUACCCAAGGAAAAAGCCUCGGCCAACUCCGUGCCAGCAGCCGCGGUAAUACGGAGGAGGCAAGCGUUAUCCGGAAUUAUUGGGCGUAAAGCGUCCGCAGGUGGCCUCUCAAGUCUGCGGUGAAAGAGCGGGGCUUAACCCCGGAGGAGCCGUGGAAACUGAGAAGCUAGAGUGCGGUAGGGGUAGAGGGAAUUCCCAGUGUAGCGGUGAAAUGCGUAGAGAUUGGGAAGAACAUCGGUGGCGAAAGCGCUCUACUGGACCGCAACUGACACUCAGGGACGAAAGCUAGGGGAGCGAAAGGGAUUAGAUACCCCUGUAGUC